AAGACACCAGACAAGGAGGGGAAGGGAUGCAGCCCAAGUGUCUUAUUUGAAACAGGGUCUGGCUGGUCUCAAACUUAAGGUGAUCACCCUGACUCUGCCUCCUGGGUGUCUUCUGAGACCUCACAGCAAGGCAAGGAGAUGGAGAUGACCUUCCUACCUCCUGGAAGCAGACGGAGAUCCAGCAGAAAUGCCAGUGUCGGCCCCUAGCCCCAGCUCCCCCUGAGGAAACCGAAGGGCCUCUCUCAUUCUAUAUGCUGAUCCCACACUACAUCUUCAUCCAACCCCAACAGGAUCUGAAGGGAAGUAAGUGGAGAAGCUACCAGAACAAGAAGAAGCACCCAAGGAACUACGGCCAUGCCUUCUGGGUUCCGUGAUGGCAGGCACCACAAUAUUUUCAGACCGUGACAACUAUGAAGACAGAACUGCAUGCCAAGAGUGACAGUGGGCACAUUUCCCAAGUUCAGACAGAACUACCUCACUGGUCCCCAUGUCUCCAGUCCUCCCUGGACCAGGUACUGGGGAAGGGGAAUAGUGUCAGAGCCUCAACUGGUUACCAGUUAGAGCAUGGUUAUGCUAAUUAUUGCUGUUUUAGAGGUCGGGGGUGACUCUUGGGCACUGGAGUUUGCAGGGACAGAAACCAGUCAGAGAAAAGCCAGGGAUCCUCUGAGGAUCAGGCCAAGGAGGUGGGCAUCAGCAUGAGGACUGUAGACCUGACAACCAGGGGCUGUUUGGAAAAUAAGCUCCCUGUGUUCCUGGCUGCUCUGCAAAAGGUAAACAGUUGAGUCUGGAAGCCAGCCACCUUCCUUUGUGUAUUUUCCAAGCAAUUUUAUGCCAGUAAAGCCUUUUCACAAGAACAGCAAUUUGGGGCACGCAUCAGGCCUGGUGCGGUUCCAUUCUGCAGCAUGGCAUGCCCCGUUCCCUUUGACAGGGUUUCUCUUUGUAGCCCUGGCUGUCCAGGAAUUCUCUAUGUAGACCAGGAUGGCCUUGAACUCACAGAGAUCUGCCUGUCGCUGCCUCCAAAGCCACCACACUGAGCUAUCUUUCCUUCUUUUGUACUUCAAGCUGCUCUUGAACUUGCAGCUAUCCUCCUGAUUCUACCUUCUGAGUGCCGUGGUAUCAAGCAUGCGCCACCAUAGCUGGCCUUGCAGCAGCAUUUCUGAGCUGCAAAUGGGCCUUCCUGCUUCUCCUCGAGUGGCCAGAGAAGCCACCAGCAUUCUCAAGGGACGCUGUCCCUGAAAGAACCUCACAGAAGUCUGUCUCCCCACUGCCUGGGAGGCCUGAACACUUGGCUCCCAGAACAUUCCAGGAGACUUCCUGUUCUCCCUCGGAAGGGGCAUGAUCUGCCCCUCUCUGUGAGCGUUAAGGGCAUCUUGAUGAAAAGCCUGACCAUGGGUGCUCCCCUUCCAAGUCUCGCUGUCUUGUGAGGCCAGCACUGGACGUGGUUCCCUGCAGCACACAGGGUUCUGAAUUCAGAGAGAACAAAGGACCACUGUUUCCCUAGUUGACAAGGGCAGUGAGGCUCACGAGGGGGUGGACAGAGCUGGGACAAAGUUGGCAAACCCCAGUGGCCCUCGAGUCACCUCUGACUCCCAAAACAGUAAUAAUUAACAUAAUCAUACCCUACCUGGUAACCAAGCGAGGUCCUGACACUACACAGGGAACCAGCCAGAGGUGUGAGCAAGGCCGGGAAGCCCACCUAACCCUAUGAUCAUCUAACUAUAGCUUCAGUUUCUCCAUUCAUAAUACAAGCAAGCUUUCAACUUUCCACACGCUGUCCAAGGCGGUGGCUCUCAAUUCGGCUUGCAGCAAACGGGAAGAAUUCAUAGGUCCCUCAUCUCACCCACACCCACAGGACCACCCGCUGACUUCCCAUUGCUUCCCCAGGGCAACUCUCUUUACUACAAAACAUGUCCCCGCACCUGGCCAUGGAGACACAGGGCCGCUAAGCAAAAUAACUUCAAACGCUACAGCUGAGGCUGGAGUGGGACUAAGACUAAGCCACAGGGACUGGCCUUCGUGGCUCCACCUUCUCAGAACUUCAACUACCUAAAGAAACCUCACUGCCCUGCAGUACACACAGCUGCUGCAUGCAUGAUCACAUUCUACUCGUUACAUGCAGAGAUCACACUCGGUUAAAGAUCAGCUGCUUACUGUCUGUAUUAUGACCGACAUAAAACCCCCCCAAGCCUCUGGUAGGAGCAUGGCAAAGAACUCAGCACGGGGCAGGACUUGAAUUCUACAGAGCCAGGGUCCGAGCACUGGCUCAUAUUAACAUCCUUAAAGAGUAUGCUGCCACACCUCAGCUCUCUGUGGUUGCCAAUGACAACUGUCACCCACAAGGUGCUGACGGGAAGCAACACGUUGCGUUCCUAACAAGCACUGAGCAUAUGGAGACACUGAGCAGAUGAAGACACUGAGUCACACAGAGGUCCAGCGCCACGCCCAAGGGCAUAGAGCUUCACGUCGUGGAAACAUAGGGUUCUCUCUUGCUGAGGCCCGGCUUCUGUUCACGCCAAAGGGUGUGCCAGGUACCUGGGGUUUCUUCUACCUCUCCUCCCUGCUUGCAGCCCAGGAGUGGUGUGUUUUCAGCUGUGACUUCAAAUGGGAUCCACCACAUCAAAAGUUUUGUCUUAAGUAAGCGCUGAGUGGGACAAAUGGCCCAAGGGCCUGAUGUGUAUCUCCAUGCUCUCAGAGAGUCCUGGGAUCUGGCAGAAGAGUCAACCCUGAGGUUGCAGUCUAGCAGACAGAGGUGGGUCUCUCAACCUGGGCCUUUCAUGGAUAGGCCCCAAAGGCAGUAGGGUCUCCCUGGGUGUUUGAUUCCAAAAGCAGCCUGAGGGAGGACAUGGGCACUCCUGAAUAAGCACCAGAGGAGUGUCAUGUGUCCCUCAGUCAGGAGCUUGAGUCUGGCUACCCACACCUGUAAACUAAGCCAAGUGAGAUAUUGAUCAUCCCAAUGGCCUCUGCCCCAGAUCAAAGAGGCAGGCUGGUGUCUGUAUUCCCUGACACAGUUCCCCAAUGACUAGGACAAUGGGAAGUAGCAGCAAUUCAAUUAAGGCAGAAGAGUAGACAACACUUUACCCCAAAGGAGGGCUAACAACUAAUGAGCCAGACAAGCACAGCGCCUCCUGGCACUAACAUGUGAGGAACUGAGUCUACCGCAGGUAACCGGUGAAGCCUAGCUUGUUAGGCCUGCCAGAGUCCAUGCUCUGAACCUAACAUCUCCAGCAACACUCUGAGAGAUACAGAGCUAUCAGGCAGCAUGGCUCCUUAAGAAUGGUAUUGAGGGGCUACAGAGAUGACUCAGUAGUUAAGAGCAUUGGCUGCUCUUCCAGAGGACCUGGGUUCAACUCCCAGCACCCACAUGGAUGCUCACAACUGUCUGAAACUCCAGUUCCAGGGGACCUGACACCCACCCACAGACAAGCAUCAAUGUCAUAUGCAGACAAAUGCCAAUGCCAUCAAAAUAAAAAAAUAAUUAAUCAAUUAAUAAUGACUGUGAAAAAGAACUGCAUUGAACAUCUUCAUUUCCGACAGGGCAGUUAUAUCAUCAUACAAUAUGACAUACACAGGCUAUCUUUUUAAAAAAUGGAAUAUAACUCCUUUUCUCAUUUUUAUUGUUUUUUUUCUGAGAAUUUUACACAAUGUAUUUUGAUCAUAUCCACACAACCAGACACUCCUCCCAGAUCCAUCCCUAAUUCCUACCCACCCAACUUUAUAUCCUUUCUUGUUUUUAACCCAGAAAAUACAGUCGGUGCUGCCCAUAGGCUCUUGACUGUGUGACCUUCCACUGAAGCCUGACCAGCCAACCACAGGCCACACGCUUCUCCCAACAGCCAUCAAUUGCCAAUAGCUACGGGUGCACCUUGAGCCUAACUCCGCUCCCCAAGCUAGGAUUUUAUAUGACUUGUACCAGCUGAGUGCCAGCCAGAGGAAGAACUUGUCUUUUGUGAAGGGAUUCCAUACAGUUCUAACCAACAACUUGUCAGGCCGGCUUGUAAGAGACACUGUGGCCAAGACAAUGAUGGCUGGAACCACACCUUGGCCAGGACUGCUCAGUUAUGCAAACUUCUUACCCGAUAUUUAAACCUGAACCUCAGGUCAGGACCCUGGAGAUGGACUUCGGAGGUGGGCAGGAAUGGUCACUGGAGCUCUUUCUUCUCUUCCCCAUGUGGCCACAAAGAAUAAAUCUCCCUCUACUUUCA